UACGGAGGAUCCAAGCGUUAUCCGGAAUCAUUGGGUUAAAGGGUCCGUAGGCGGCCCGAUAAGUCAGUGGUGAAAUCUCCCGGCUCAACCGGGAAAUGGCCAUUGAUACUGUCGGGCUUGAAUUAUUAGGAAGUAACUAGAAUAUGUAGUGUAGCGGUGAAAUGCUUAGAUAUUACAUGGAAUACCAAUUGCGAAGGCAGGUUACUACUAAUGAAUUGACGCUGAUGGACGAAAGCGUGGGUAGCGAACAGGA
rnacentral:rRNA from 1 species